ACGCCAUUAGCUCAUCAGGAUAGAGCGCCAGCUUUCUAAGCUGACGGUGCGUGGUUCAAGUCCGCGAUGGCGUACCA
rnacentral:tRNA from 1 species